UUGGUAGGAGAGAGAUGCUGAUGAAGAGUGAGCUACUUGUAUCAGGUGCACACUUGAGACUGUGUUGGCAUCUCCUGUCUGGAGGGGAGACAGGAGGGUAGAAAAAAAAAAAAUUUUUUUUUUUUUUUUUUAGAAACUGACAAAAUUGUCACGAAAGGAUGGACUGGAAGGGCUGACUCAUUAGGGGGAGAGUAAGUGGGAGUAUGGAGUAAGGUGUAUAUAAGCUUAUAUGUGACAGACUGACAAUUUGUAAACAUUCACUUAAAGCUCAAUAAAAAUUAUUAAAAAAAAUAAAAGAAAAGUGGAAGGGGAACUAACAUUGAAUUAUUAUAACGUAGAUGUUUUGCUGAGAUCUUCCGGAAUUUGUUAGUUCCUUUAUAACUGAAACAUGAUGAAAGUAAAACUGCAACAAGUCCUACUAUGAAGGACUUUCAUUGGUUCUGAAGCAAAGCUUUUCCUCCCCCGGUCUCUGCAGAGUAACAGCUACUCUUCUUCCUUUGCCUCAAUUCACGCUCUCUGGUAGUCUCUAUUCUGACCACUCGCUAUCGAUGCUGUCCCUAUGGAUUUUCCUUGUAUCUUUGGCUUGGGUUUAUGGAAACACCGAAAUGAGAAUAUCUCAGGAUCAACUCUCCUCUACAAGAAGACCAGACAGAACAGUGCACAUAAGUUGCAAACUGUCUGUAGUUCCCUUGGAGAAUGCCAUUGUGCACUGGUAUCAACAAAAAGAAGGGGAGCCCCUGAAACGAAUCCUUUAUGGCUCCUCCAAGGAUUACAAGCAAGACCAGCCCAAUCCUCGCAUGGAGACAGAUGUGAAAGGGAACGGUGUCUUUUACCUGAUAAUAAAUAAAGUCACUAAGGAAGAUGAAGCCACAUACUACUGUGCCUGCUGGGACCUCACAAUGCCACAGAGUCAGAAGGGACCUAUGAGGAAGCUGGGGCCCAGAGAUGACAAACGACUUGUCCAAAGCAAGUUAACCACAGAGGUAGAGCUACCCUUCUCCAUUUCAGAUUUCUGGUUCAGUGUCUUUUCCUGCCUCUCUUGUGGCCAACGUUGAACUUCUUUUAGCAAAAUCUUAUUUCUUUCUUUCUAAAGACAAAUAUAACAAUAAUGUCUUGUCUUCAUAAGUAAUGACUCCAGAACUCAAUGAGGUCUUAUAUUUAGGCAAAGUAUAUGACCACCACAUAAAGCAUGUGACACUUGGAAAGUGAAUAAAGGUUGGCAGAAAAGGACUCCAGCUCCAUCUGCCUUCAUGUUGUUUUCCCUCAGCCACUUAAUCCUCUUCAGUUGUGUAGCCUUCCUUCUGUUCUGAAAUCCCCAAAAUUGAACUAGUUUCCCUGGCCUGCAUCUCAAACACAUGAAUAUAGGAGAUAGGGGUUGGUCACUGCGUGAAUGUACAUGUAAACUCUGUACUACUUCCAGAAGGUAUACAGAAGGACCUGUAGAACCAAGGCCCAAAUUUCAUCCUCUUUACUCUGAAAUUUGAACCAGUUUUGACUGGAUGGCUACACACUUAACUCAAUGUUUGACAGCCCUUGCCUACAUCCUACUUUUUAGUACGAUGCAGGCCUUUUUUCUGUCCAAGGUCUUAUCAGACACAUCUUUCAAAUAACAACAGUAGCAACAACAAUACCUACAUCAGUACAAUAUAGCUGCAUUCUUUUCUUCUUGGAAGUCUAAUGAGUAGUCAAAUAAUUGAUUUCAAUCCUACUCCCUCACACAAAUCCCUAUAGCCUGUAGUGUUUUCUCCUGAAAACGCUUACCUCAGUAAAUGGCACCACUAUCUAACCAGUGGCUUAAGCCAAAAUCUCACUUGCAACAUAAAAAACAAGGAUAUGUCCUGUUACUUCUUCUCCCCAAAAUACACUCAGAAUAUGUCUUCAUAUUUCUACUGCUGUCACCAUAAUCCGUCUUUUCUAGAUUGGGCUACUUGGUCUGUUUAUUUCCAUUCUUGCCUCUUCAAAGUUCAUUGUCCACCUAACAGUCAAAUUAUA